rnacentral:rRNA from 1 species
AUGAGGAUCACGGUGUGGAACUGCCGGGGGUUGGGGAACGGCCCGGUAGUGAGAGGGCUUCUGGAUGUGCAGAAGCAGGAGGACCCCGACCUUCUCUUUUUAUCAGAAACCAAACUUGAUAAAAGGAGAAUGGAAAGUCUCAAAUGGAAGUUGGGAAUGAGUAACUUGGUGGCAAGGGACUGUGAAGGAAAAAGUGGCGGGUUAGCAUUAUUGUGGAAGAAGGAAAUAAAGGUAGAGCUCCACAAUUAUUCCAGAUACCAUACUGAUGUGGAGAUAACUGAGGAAGACGGAUUUAGAUGGAGAUUUACUGGAAUAUAUGGAGAACCAACAAGUGAGAGAAGGAAUGUAACAUGGAAACUACUAAGCAUCCUAAAUCAACAGCUCACUCUACCAUGGUUGUGUGCAGGAGACUUCAACGAAAUCAUGUACCUCCAUGAGAAGAUAGGAGGGCCAGAGAGAUCACAAUCAGCAAUGGAGAAAUUCAGAUUCGCACUAGCUGACUACGGCCUCCGAGACUUAGGCUACACAGGGGAUAAGUUUACCUGGCGAAACCAUAGUCACACAGUAAAGAAAUAUAUCAAAGAAAGAUUAGACAGAGCAGUGGGUAACCAAAGAUGGUGUCAACGCUUUCCCGCAUAUAAAAUAGUGAAUGGAGACCCGAGGCACUCAGAUCACCAUCCGGUCACCAUAUGGGUAUAA